rnacentral:lncRNA from 1 species
AAGACUCAUUGCACUCACAUUAAACUUGUGGUUGUCAGUUACCAAACAAACAACUUUGAAACCUGUGUCUUCAACCUCCUCCGUAACAUAGCGAACCAGUUCUGACAGCUGGAGGCCAUUCAACCCUUGGUAAAAGAAGUAAGAAACUGGUAUUCUGUAUGCUGUAGAAGGUCCAUUGAUCAAAAAACAAAGCAAGGAAUUUGCCAGUACAGGCUCACUUGGACUUCAUUCUACUUCAUGUCCACUUGGCCAACAAAGCAGUCUCGCAAGCGUAUUAUACUGUAGCUUUAGCUUAAUCCUCAUGUCGUCAACUAUAAUAGAGCAAACCCUGGGACUGUGGUGCUUCAAGCUUAUCACUCUCUGCCUUCAACCGGGCUUUUAUCAAGUCAUUGAAGCCGGCAUUUCCACAACUGCUCUCUGUGAGGUUCUGUAGUGUGUUUCUGCUGGGUAAUUUAAGUAGCUUUUGUAGUCUUGCAUGCUCGUAAGCUUUGCUUGACAGAUGUCGACGCACUAUGCAGUGUCUCACAUCUGUCCAUGUUGGAUUCUUGCACUGAAAAUUUGUAAUUUGGUCUCGUAGGGAGAUGUACGUGAGAUCUUUUUGCUUUGCUUGCUCUCUGACAUAGGUGAUGUCACGAAAAUUGCAAUCUUGCAUAACUUUACAGACUACACGAUUACAUGCCUGAGCUCUACGACAAGUCUUAUUGCACCAAUUGCAAUAGAUCCCUUAACGUAUAUCAUUUACUCUGGCCAUGUUCGCAAGCUCACAUAGAGUACGAACAAGACAAGCGCAAGUUUGAAGAAGCAAUCCGGAGCGAAGAACUCGCUCCCCAACUCUGGGCCGUCCAGCAGGUCCACGACGCCGCCAGGAAACUUAACCUCCUGGUUCCGUCGUGGGAGACGCCCACUCCACGAGAGCCCAAAGCUCUCGUGGCCUGCAGGACCUCGAAUAAAGUUGAUUUCCUUCCUUCCUUCCUUGUGUAACUUUCUUUAGUUCCUUUGAAUAGGAGUCUACUGUCUUAUGGAGUCCUGUUCACUUCUUCAGGUCCCUGUGUUUUUGUCGUUAUUUUGCCCUCUCUGUUGUAAGGAAGCUAACACGAGCAACAUCAACUUGUGUAUCCUGGUCUGCAACUAUUGCAUGGUGACGAAAUAAUUCCUUGUGUGGAAUGUGACUUCUCUACAAUGCUCAUUCUUGUUAAUCCUCAAGAGGUGGACUGCCUUCAUUUCCACGUGGUGGCUCUUCUGCUGACGUAGGCCCCUGAGAAUCUUGCGUACCAAGAACUAGGGUCGACGGUACUGCUCAUGCGCAGAUGUAGGGGUCUGCACAUGCGCAUUAGCAUUGCCUCUAGUUCUUGCGUACGCAAGCCGCUUGCGUCCCCUAAUCUAAAUCUCUCUAUUGUUGAAUACAACUUAAGUCUCCAGUGAAGCCCCACCCACGCCCUAAUAACCGCCAGCUACUGUUCCUUGGAGAGGCUGCAAGUAGUUUGUACUUCGAAUUUUCCCUGUUACCUAAAAAAGGUGGUAACCACAAAAAAUAUAAACGCACAAUUUUACACGUUUUCACCCGUCUAUUAUAGCGGAACGGUGAAAGCCUAAUUUAUUGAACUGAAAUAAAAUGCUUACUUUGCUGCAACUAUUUAUUGUCAAGUUUCAUGAGCAAAACGGGCUCAGCAGUGAAAUGAACUGUAUGGGAGACUUUUCAAGAAGUAAAUGCUCCAUCUCCAUACACUUUACCCAUAUCUGUUGCACACCUGAUCGCUUCCACCGAUGAAAAGACUCUUCAAGGACAGCAGGCGCUCCGGAGGUAUCAAGUACGAAGCCAUUUUGAAAAGAUCGCAUGACUACGGUUUGUAUGCUUCUGUGAUUGGCUGGCAGAGUAACACAACCCCGUGUAGUCCAUGUACCUUGGUUGCCAAGUGCGUUUUUUUUUUAAAUUUUUAUCCCACUAUAGACACAUAGAUUUGACAAGUUGGGCUUGUUGGUUCGUGAUCGUCGGGUUGUGCACAGGCUACAACCACAAAAAGGACAAGACGACGCACACCGCCUAAACUAGGCACUCUUUGCCCUCGAGAUGCGGCGGCAUGUCGCCCAAUCUCGGAGACGACAAGACUAAGGUGGCUUUGUCGGAAUCCGCCAUGAGCUGAGGCUUGAGUGUACACCUGUGCACGUGUUGUGGUGUUAGCUGUGCCACUUGCAGCCAUAUUCUGAAACAAUGCACUUUGACGAUAGUUCGCACUCAGGUGCGCGCUGAUUGGUUGUUUUAACUGAAGUGGAUCGUUUAAGAAUACGGCCCCCGUGCACUCUAGUAUGGUGGUACAUAGUGGCACUAUUAAAACCAAGGAUCGAAACAGUUCAUUGAUCGAAACACCUUAACUGAGUGUACCAUACCAUUUCCUACUGUACGGAUUUCACUUCCUGCUUUCUGUCCUUUCAUACUUUCGCUACUUUCACUUCACCACUGCAUGCCAGUUCGGCUGG